rnacentral:rRNA from 1 species
CCUACGGGAGGCAGCAGUGAGGAAUAUUGGUCAAUGGACGAGAGUCUGAACCAGCCAAGUAGCGUGAAGGAUGACUGCCCUACGGGUUGUAAACUUCUUUUAUAUGGGAAUAAAAUGUUCCACGUGUGGGAUUUUGUAUGUACCAUAUGAAUAAGGAUCGGCUAACUCCGUGCCAGCAGCCGCGGUAAUACGGAGGAUCCGAGCGUUAUCCGGAUUUAUUGGGUUUAAAGGGAGCGUAGAUGGAUUGUUAAGUCAGUUGUGAAAGUUUGCGGCUCAACCGUAAAAUUGCAGUUGAUACUGGCAGUCUUGAGUACAGUAGAGGUAGGCGGAAUUCGUGGUGUAGCGGUGAAAUGCUUAGAUAUCACGAAGAACUCCGAUUGCGAAGGCAGUUCACUAGACUGCAACUGACACUGAGGCUCGAAAGUGUGGGUAUCAAACAGGAUUAGAUACCCGAGUAGUC